GAUGAACGCUGGCGGCGUGCCUAAUACAUGCAAGUCGAGCGAACAGAUGAGGAGCUUGCUCCUCUGACGUUAGCGGCGGACGGGUGAGUAACACGUGGAUAACCUACCUAUAAGACUGGGAUAACUUCGGGAAACCGGAGCUAAUACCGGAUAAUAUAUUGAACCGCAUGGUUCAAUAGUGAAAGACGGUUUUGCUGUCACUUAUAGAUGGAUCCGCGCCGCAUUAGCUAGUUGGUAAGGUAACGGCUUACCAAGGCAACGAUGAGUAGCCGACCUGAGAGGGUGAUCGGCCACACUGGAACUGAGACACGGUCCAGACUCCUACGGGAGGCAGCAGUAGGGAAUCUUCCGCAAUGGGCGAAAGCCUUACGCAGCAACGCCGCGUGAGUGAUGAAGGUCUUCGGAUCGUAAAACUCUGUUAUUAGGGAAGAACAAAUGUGUAAUUAACUAUGCACGUCUUGACGGUACCUAAUCAGAAAGCCACGGCUAACUACGUG
rnacentral:rRNA from 1 species